AAAAAAUUAGUAAAAAGCAUUUAUCAAAUGUGGUGAGAGUGUAACCAGCCUAGCCUAGCCUAACCGGUCUUCUUCUCUUGCCCCCAAGCUCCAACCUUCAUUUUCAACUCUCUCCUUCUCUCUCUAGCUCUCUCACCAAAGAAUUUUCUAUUCAGACAAACAUAUUAAAGAAAGUCCAAUCCUUUUCUAUCUUAAGCUAUCAUCAUUCAUCUUCUUCUUCCCCUUGUUUCCCCUCAAUGAACUUAAUAACUUGAUGCUUUAUUACACCAACUUCCUAGUCCCUUUCCCUUCUUGUCU
rnacentral:lncRNA from 1 species